rnacentral:rRNA from 1 species
AUUGAACGCUGGCGGAAUGCUUUACACAUGCAAGUCGAACGGCAGCACGGGGCAACCUGGUGGCGAGUGGCGAACGGGUGAGUAAUACAUCGGAACGUGCCCAGUCGUGGGGGAUAACGUAGCGAAAGUUACGCUAAUACCGCAUACGAUCUAUGGAUGAAAGCGGGGGAUCGCAAGACCUCGCGCGAUUGGAGCGGCCGAUGUCAGAUUAGGUAGUUGGUGGGGUAAAGGCCUACCAAGCCGACGAUCUGUAGCUGGUCUGAGAGGACGACCAGCCACACUGGGACUGAGACACGGCCCAGACUCCUACGGGAGGCAGCAGUGGGGAAUUUUGGACAAUGGGCGCAAGCCUGAUCCAGCCAUUCCGCGUGCAGGAUGAAGGCCUUCGGGUUGUAAACUGCUUUUGUACGGAACGAAAAGGCUCUGGUUAGUACCUGGGGCUCAUGACGGUACCGUAAGAAUAAGCACCGGCUAACUACGUGCCAGCCGCCGCGGUAACAC